rnacentral:ncRNA from 2 species
GGGUGUUAGCCGCAUCGUGCGGCGGGACAGGACAACGCGCAGGUCGGGCCGCCGCG